rnacentral:lncRNA from 1 species
AAAUAAUAUAACUGUCCAAAGAGAAGCAUUUAGGAUGACCUUAAAAGUGCAAAAAAAGUCUGAAUUAAAAGUUGAAUUUAUAGCUUUGUUGGGGAUGCACAAGAAAAUCUGAGGUACCUGACUGGAGCUGAAAGGAAAAUGCUGUCAUUGAGUCUGUAUCAAAGUUGAAUUUAUAGCUUACGGUAGGAAAUGCAGAAGAAUCUGAGGUAUUUUACUGGAGCUGAAAGAGAAAAAGAUGUCAUUCUACUGUGAUAAAACAUGACAAUUGAUCUGCUGAAAGCACAAACAGGCACACAAGAAAAAAAAAAGAAGAAAAAAGUAAAAAAAAUAAAAAAGAAGCAAAAGCAAGAACAAACAUGAGGUAAAACCGAUUCUGUAUUGCAUAGCCUGCAUUAUGAAGAAUGCAUUUUGAGUAGUAUAACCAUUUCUUUAAAAAACAAUUCUUGUUAUCUUUGAGUGAACCGCUUGGGCGUUAAUUGAGUGGGUUGGGGCAGUUGACUUUUAGGUGAACCUGCUUCCAGAAAAUUUGGCUUCUAGUUGUUGAUGCUUAAUUAAGAAAAGACGCUCUUCAGCAACGAAAGUAUGCCAACGGUAGAGAAGUUUGAGCUCUUUAUGCUGCCAUAUUAUUUGUGUAAAUAUUGGGUAUAUCAAGUGGCUAAUAUAUGCCUGUAAUAUUUCAUUUCAAAAUUGAUUGAAUUUCAGGCUAAGCAGUUUAUAAUUGAAAAAUUAAAACGGGUAGACUUUUUAUAAAUCUGUCGCAUAUGAGACUACUGUAUUCUAUUGUUGAAUAAUAUUAUGCCGCUUGUGACCAUUAAUGUCCAUAGAUAGUGAGAAAGGCAAAUGUAAUAAUUUUCUAAUUAUGUGUGGUUAAGGACCUAGCAAGAGUGUGUGUGUAUAGGGUCUUGCUAACCUACUACAUUGUUGUAGUAAGUUAGCAUUGUAUACAUAUUUCAUUUCUCCAAAAUACCCCCGCGUUUUCUUUAAUAGUAAGGACAUCUUUGUCUUUUAAAUCUAUUAGGGCAAUCAUCUCCAUUCGGCAAACUUUCCGUCCUCGUGAAUCUUUAAUCCCGUUUUUGCUGAAAACUGGGAAUUCUUUGUUAUUAAUGCAACAAAUUUCCUUUUAGCAAUUUAUCAAUGUUGGGCUUCAAUUGAUUUUUUGUUCUUUUCCGAAAAAAAUUUGAAUCAAGUUCUUAACAAAAAGACAGAGAAAUCAUUAUGUUUUGAUCUGUAAUACUAAGCCCCAUUUCGAUUCAAGAUCUGUUCAGAUCAAAAUCCGGCUAUGGUUAAUCUUCAAAAUGCCGGUCAAACCGACUUAGAAUGUUGACGAGAAAAACAAGGAAAGAGGAUGUAGAGCUUGCUCUGCAUCACUUAAUCGACCUCCCAAGGCAUUGUCUUCCACUUCAUCUGAGUAGAAAUUGGGGAAUUUGGGUGAAUUCAUGAAUGAUUAAGAUUGGACUACAAAUCCGAUAUAGAAAAUUGAAGAUGCAACUUGGAUUGAAAAGAGGAAGCUUAAGUAGCAUUAUGUUCUGGCAUUGGAUUCUUACUCAUACUAGAUUGUUCUUUUGCCGAGUAUCGAUAAAAUGAUAAGAGGAAAAAGGUAUACGGUUCCAAUUUUAUAAAAGUUAUGAAUAGGUUAGAUUUAGACAUAUAAAGUUCUGAAGAUAAAAAAAUCUCUCACAAAAACAUCAGAUUGCAACUCCUUCAUAGAUCGGAAGAGGAAGCUAAAGAGAAUGCUAGAAUGAGAAAAUGAGAAAAAAGGGAGAAGAAUUUGGGUUUAAGUUUUCAGUAGAAGACAAAAAUGCGCUUGCCAUUAAUGUGUUGCUGAACCACUAUUAAGGGUAUUUAAGUGAAACCAAAUAUGUAUACAAUGCUAACCUACUACAACUAUGUAGUAGGUUAGCAAAACCUAUAUAAGGUCUUGCUAACCUACUACAUUGUUGUAGUAAGUUAGCAUUGUAUACAUAUUUCAUUUCUCCAAAAUACCCCCAUGUUUUCUUUAAUAGUAAGGACAUCUUUGUCUUUUAAAUCAAUUAGGGCAAUCAUCUCCAUUCGGCAAACUUUCCGUCCUCGUGAAUCUUUAAUCCCGUUUUUGCUGAAAACUGGAAUUCUUUGUUAUUAAUGCAACAAAUUUCCUUUUAGCAAUUUAUCAAUGUUGGGCUUCAAUUGAUUUUUUGUUCUUUUCCAAAAAAAAUUGAAUCAAGUUCUUAACAAAAAGAUAGAGGAAUCAUUAUGUUUUGAUAUGUAAUACUAAGCCCCAUUUCGAUUCUAGAUCUGUUCAGAUCAAAAUCCAGCUAUGGUUAAUCUUUAAAAUGCU